rnacentral:tRNA from 1 species
ACUUAAAUAGCUUAUAGUUAGAGUUUGAUAUUGAAGAUAUCACGGAAGUAUUAUUACUUUUAAGUA